CCCAGUGUUUCAUCGAUUGGGCUCUCAGAAAUAGCGAUGGGGUGCAGGCUGCUUUCCAAGCUUGAUAUUAAGAAAUGCUUCGGGAUUAAUGAUGUUGGAAUGCUUUACCUUUCCCAGUUCGCUCAUAGCCUCCGUCAGAUAAACUUGUCAUACUGUUCAGUCACCGAUGUUGGGCUCCUUUCCCUUUCUAGCAUAUCCGGCCUGCAGAACAUGACCAUCGUCCAUUUGGCGG